rnacentral:rRNA from 1 species
GACGAACGCUGGCGGCGUGCCUAAUACAUGCAAGUCGAACGAGAGCGACCGGUGCUUGCACUGGUCAAUCUAGUGGCGAACGGGUGAGUAACACGUGGGUAACCUGCCCAUCAGAGGGGGAUAACAUCCGGAAACGGAUGCUAAAACCGCAUAGGUCUUCGAGCCGCAUGGUUUGAAGAGGAAAAGAGGCGCAAGCUUCUGCUGAUGGAUGGACCCGCGGUGCAUUAGCUAGUUGGUGAGGUAACGGCUCACCAAGGCCGUGAUGCAUAGCCGACCUGAGAGGGUGAUCGGCCACAUUGGGACUGAGACACGGCCCAAACUCCUACGGGAGGCAGCAGUAGGGAAUCUUCCGCAAUGGACGCAAGUCUGACGGAGCAACGCCGCGUGAGUGAAGAAGGUUUUCGGAUCGUAAAACUCUGUUGUUAGAGAAGAACAAGUGCUAGAGUAACUGUUAGCGCCUUGACGGUAUCUAACCAGAAAGCCACGGCUAACUACGUGCCAGCAGCCGCAGUAAAAC